UACGAAGGGGGCUAGCGUUGUUCGGAAUCACUGGGCGUAAAGCGCACGUAGGCGGAUCUUUAAGUCAGGGGUGAAAUCCCGGGACUCAACCUCGGAACUGCCUUUGAUACAGCAAGUCUUGAGUUCGAGAGAGGUGGGUGGAAUUCCUAGUGUAGAGGUGAAAUUCGUAGAUAUUAGGAAGAACACCGGUGGCGAAGGCGGCCCACUGGCUCGAUACUGACGCUGAGGUGCGAAAGCGUGGGGAGCGAACAGG
rnacentral:rRNA from 1 species